AGCUGACGAGUCCCAAACAGGACGAAACGCGCGUCCUGGAU
rfam:Schistosoma curassoni strain Dakar, Senegal genome assembly, scaffold: SCTD_scaffold0007169